rnacentral:ncRNA from 2 species
UGUGCUAUACUUGAAAGGUUGACUUGCUCAACCCUUGGUGCUUAGCUUCUUUCACCAAGCAUAUUUUACGCGGGUUAAUCGCUAAAGGAGAAAACAUG